UACGUAGGGUGCAAGCGUUUAAUCGGAAUACUGGGCGUAAAGCGUGCGCAGGCGGUGAUGUAAGACAGGUGUGAAAUCCCCGGGCUUAACCUGGGAACUGCAUUUGUGACUGCAUCGCUGGAGUGCGGCAGAGGGGGAUGGAAUUCCGCGUGUAGCAGUGAAAUGCGUAGAUAUGCGGAGGAACACCGAUGGCGAAGGCAGCCCCCUGGGUCAACACUGACGCCUCAUGCACGAAAGCGUGGGGAGCAAACAGG
rnacentral:rRNA from 1 species